GCAUGGUUGUCGUCAGCUCGUGUCGUGAGAUGUUCGGGUUAAGUCCCGCAACGAGCGCAACCCUCGACCUUAGUUGCCAGCAUUCAGUUGGGCACUCUAAGGUGACUGCCGGCUAAAAGUCGGAGGAAGGUGGGGAUGACGUCAAAUCAUCAUGCCCCUUAUGACCUGGGCUACACACGUGCUACAAUGGGCGGUACAAAGGGUCGCGAACCCGCGAGGGGGAGCCAAUCCCAAAAAGCCGCUCUCAGUUCGGAUUGCAGGCUGCAACUCGCCUGCAUGAAGCCGGAAUCGCUAGUAAUCGCGGAUCAGCAUGCCGCGGUGAAUACGUUCCCGGGCCUU
rnacentral:rRNA from 1 species